rnacentral:rRNA from 1 species
UGGAGCGGCAGACGGGUGAGUAACACGUGGGAACGUACCCUUCGGUUCGGAAUAACUCAGGGAAACUUGAGCUAAUACCGGAUACGUCCGAGAGGAGAAAGAUUUAUCGCCGAAGGAUCGGCCCGCGUCUGAUUAGCUAGUUGGUGAGGUAACGGCUCACCAAGGCGACGAUCAGUAGCUGGUCUGAGAGGAUGAUCAGCCACAUUGGGACUGAGACACGGCCCAAACUCCUACGGGAGGCAGCAGUGGGGAGUAUUGGACAAUGGGCGCAAGCCUGAUCCAGCCAUGCCGCGUGAGUGAUGAAGGCCUUAGGGUUGUAAAGCUCUUUUACCUGGGAAGAUAAUGACGGUACCAGGAGAAUAAGCCCCGGCUAACUUCGUGCCAGCAGCCGCGGUAAUACGAAGGGGGCUAGCGUUGUUCGGAUUUACUGGGCGUAAAGCGCACGUAGGCGG